ACUUUCAACGAUGGAUCUCUUGGCUCUCGCGUCGAUGAAGAACGCAGCGAGAUGCGAUGGGUGGUGUGGAUUGCAGGAUUCCGUGAAUCAUCGGAUUUUUGAGCGCGGAUUGCGCUUCUCGGUAUUCCGAGAAGUACACCUGCUUGAGGGUCGAGU
rnacentral:rRNA from 1 species